GGAAGGAUCAUUACUGAGUUCAUGCCCUCACGGGUAGAUCUCCACCCUUGAAUACAAACCAUUGUUGCUUUGGCGGGCCGCUUCGGCUACCGGCUUCGGCUGGUGAGUGCCCGCCAGAGGACCCUAAACUCUGAAUUAUAGUGUCGUCUGAGAAUUAUCAAAUAGUUAAAACUUUCAACAACGGAUCUCUUGGUUCUGGCAUCGAUGAAGAACGCAGCGAAAUGCGAUAAGUAAUGUGAAUUGCAGAAUUCAGUGAAUCAUCGAAUCUUUGAACGCACAUUGCGCCCCUUGGUAUUCCGGGGGGCAUGCCUGUUCGAGCGUCAUUAUAACCCUCAAGCCUAGCUUGGUGUUGGAGCAUGCUACCUAGCAGCUCUUAAAAUCAGUGGCAGUGCCCUCUGGCUCUAAGCGUAGUAACUCUUCUCGCUAUGGAACCCAGAGGGACCGCGCCAAAACCCCCAACUUCUAAUGAUUGACCUCGGAUCAGGUAGGGAUACCCGCUGAACUUAAGCAUAUCAAUAAGCGGAGGAAAAGAAACCAACAGGGAUUGCCUCAGUAACGGCGAGUGAAGCGGCAAAAGCUCAAAUUUGAAAUCUGGCUCUUUUAGGGUCCGAGUUGUAAUUUGUAGAAGAUGCUUUGGGUGUGGUACCGGUCUAAGUUCCUUGGAACAGGACGUCACAGAGGGUGAGAAUCCCGUAUGUGAUCGGUCGCCUUCGCCCGUGUAAAGCUCUUUCGACGAGUCGAGUUGUUUGGGAAUGCAGCUCAAAAUGGGUGGUAUAUUUCAUCUAAAGCUAAAUAUUGGCCAGAGACCGAUAGCGCACAAGUAGAGUGAUCGAAAGAUGAAAAGCACUUUGGAAAGAGAGUUAAACAGUACGUGAAAUUGUUGAAAGGGAAGCGCUUGCAAUCAGACUUGCGUGCAGUUGAUCAUCUAGUGUUCUCACUGGUGCACUCUGCUGUACUCAGGCCAGCAUCGGUUCCGGUGGUUGGAUAAAGGCCUUGGGAAUGUAGCUCCUCUCGGGGAGUGUUAUAGCCCUCGGUGCAAUGCAGCCUACUGGGACCGAGGACCGCGCUUCGGCUAGGAUGCUGGCGUAAUGGUUGUAAGCGACCCGUCUUGAAACACGGACCAAGGAGUCUAACAUCUAUGCGAGUGUUUGGGUGUUAAACCCAUACGCGGAAUGAAAGUGAACGGAGGUGAGAACCCUUUAGGGUGCAUCAUCGACCGAUCCUGAUGUCUUCGGAUGGAUUUGAGUAAGAGCAUAGCUGUUGGGACCCGAAAGAUGGUGAACUAUGCGUGAAUAGGGUGAAGCCAGAGGAAACUCUGGUGGAGGCUCGCAGCGGUUCUGACGUGCAAAUCGAUCGUCAAAUUUGCGCAUAGGGGCGAAAGACUAAUCGAACCAUCUAGUAGCUGGUUCCUGC
rnacentral:misc_RNA from 1 species